rnacentral:rRNA from 1 species
UGCAAGUCGAACGGCAGCACGGACUUCGGUCUGGUGGCGAGGGGCGAACGGGUGAGUAAUACAUCGAAACGUGCCUAGUAGGGGGGGAUAACUACUCGAAAGAGUAGCUAAUACCGCAUGAAAUCUACGGAUGAAAGCAGGGGACCUUCGGGCCUUGUGCUACUAGAGCGGCUGAUGGCAAAUUAGGUAGUUGGGGGGGUAAAGGCUUACCAAGCCUGCGAUCUGUAGCUGGUCUGAGAGGACAACCAGCCACACUGGGACUGAAACACGGCCCAAACUCCUACGGGAGGCAGCAGUGGGGAAUUUUGGACAAUGGGCGAAAGCCUGAUCCAGCAAUGCCGCGUGCAGGAUGAAGGCCCUCGGGUUGUAAACUGCUUUUGUACGGAACGAAAAGCUCUUCUCUAAUACAGGGGAGUGAUGACGGUACCGUAAGAAUAACCACCGGCUAACUACGUG